AGAUAGAAGCUUUGUAAGAUUUAUAGAUUGAAUAAGAAUUUUAUCGAACGAAUCGUAUAUAGAUGUAGCAGUAUUUCUUUUUGGGGUAUGUAUAGGUUUGAUGUAUAGAUAUAGAGAGAGAAAGAUAGGAACAGAUUGAGUUACAGAUCAAAGGGUGUUCAAAACUGAAAAGAUAUCAAGAAACUGAAUUGAAUCUUUCAAUUAAGAUGUGAAUGUGAACUCAGAACUGACUGAAGAAGAAGAGUUGCUGAUUUCACAUUCACAUCUUAAUUGA
rnacentral:misc_RNA from 1 species